rnacentral:rRNA from 1 species
UAGGGAAUCUUGCGCAAUGGGCGAAAGCCUGACGCAGCCAUGCCGCGUGAAUGAUGAAGGUCUUAGGAUUGUAAAAUUCUUUCACCGGGGAAGAUAAUGACGGUACCCGGAGAAGAAGCCCCGGCUAACUUCGUGCCAGCAGCCGCGGUAAUACGAAGGGGGCUAGCGUUGCUCGGAAUUACUGGGCGUAAAGGGCGCGUAGGCGGAUAUCUAAGUUGGGGGUGAAAGCCCGGGGCUCAACCUCGGAAUAGCCUUCAAUACUGGAUAUCUUGAGUUCGGGAGAGGUGAGUGGAAUGCCGAGUGUAGAGGUGAAAUUCGUAGAUAUUCGGCGGAACACCAGUGGCGAAGGCGACUCACUGGCCCGAUACUGACGCUGAGGCGCGAAAGCGUGGGGAGCAAACAGGAUUAGAUACCCUGGUAGUCCACGCCGUAAACGAUGAGUGCUAGUUGUCGGCAUGCAUGCAUGUCGGUGACGCAGCUAACGCAUUAAGCACUCCGCCUGGGGAGUACGGUCGCAAGAUU